UACGUAGGGUGCAAGCGUUGUCCGGAAUUAUUGGGCGUAAAGAGCUCAUAGGUGGUUUGUCGCGUCUGCUGUGAAAUCCCGAGGCUCAACCUCGGGCUUGCAGUGGGUACGGGCAGACUAGAGUGCGGUAGGGGAGAUUGGAAUUCCUGGUGUAGCGGUGGAAUGCGCAGAUAUCAGGAGGAACACCGAUGGCGAAGGCAGAUCUCUGGGCCGUAACUGACGCUGAGGAGCGAAAGCAUGGGGAGCGAACAGG
rnacentral:rRNA from 1 species